GCUGGGCGCGGAGGCAUGUGCCUGUAAUCCCAGCUACUUGGUAGGCUGAGGCUGGAGGACCACUUGAGCCCAGGAGUUCUGUGCUGUAGUGCACUAUGCCAAUCAGGUGUCCGCACUAAGUUCAGGAUCAAUAUGGUGACCUCCUGGGAGCAAGGAACCACCAGGUUGCCUAAGGAGGGGUGAACUGGCCGAGGUCGGAAAUGGAGUGAGUCAAAAUUCCCAUGCUGAUCAGUAAUGGGAUCGUGUCUGUGAAGAGCCACUGCACUCCAGCCUGGACAACACAUAAAAAAAU
ensembl:misc_RNA Metazoa_SRP Metazoan signal recognition particle RNA